UGUUUCACCAUCACCAACAGUUUCAAUAUCACUUUCACUUGUCUCCCACUCAUGAUCAUGCCCUUCAUCACCAUAAGAGGGCGUUUGAAUGCCUGUCACAAAGAAUGACAGGAGUGUUCUAUUUAGCUGAAUCUGUCACAAAGGUCAGACAUGGAACACGAGUAACAGACGUGACUCCUGGACAGGUGGUAUAAAAACGAGGAGUGUUCUGUGGUGUUCCGUGGUUUACCAUGGUACAGGUCAUCACAGAACGCCUCUCUUUCUCUCGGGGUGUUCUCUCUUUCGACUCAACAACUCCCUCUCUUUCGCUUCUUCUCCUGCGAAAGCAAACUCCAGCAAUGUCGAUCUUCCGGCGAUGAUCUCUAGCAAGACCGACAUUCCGGUGACAGACUCCAGCAAAGCCUUGCCCUAUUCAAAUUGUUCUAAGAAUUCAGCCAGGGAUUUGGGGCUGGUUGUCGCGUCCACUGCAAAUCUCAAUCCAACAGAUCCGGUGACCUUUCUCAUCUGAAUACCAUUGUUUGCAUCUCACAACCUACUCGAGGGGGAAAUGAAGCGGUGGCAAAGAGAUUGAAGGCCGCACACAUCGAGGUGCAAUUGAAAAUAUAUCUUGGUGGCAAUGCCAUUGUCAUCAUCUAAUAGCAGUGAAAAGAUCUCAAACGUGUAAGGUCUGAAUUUGGCCUCCCAUGUUGGUCUAUAUCUCUUGUUCACACAUUGUUGCAAGGGGGCUGGCCCAAGUGGCUUAUGCCAUCAUGGCAAAAAAAAAACGUCAUUAUGUUGGCCCUUCAAUAACUGGUGUGUGCAGUCCCAGCAGCAGGUUUCAAGUUCAACAUCACCACCGCGAAAAUAGAGAGAGCGAAAUUGAUAGGAUAUGCAAGUAAGUGCAUGUGUUGCAUAAAUUAUCCGCAGGAAUACUAAACACUUCCAAGCAAAGAAAAAGGAUCACUUUAAUUCCAAAUUACAAAUGCCAUAAUUUGUGAGAGUACUUCAAAGAGAUGGUUGCUCGACAUAUUUGUGAAUGGCACUAUCUCAGUUCCAUCCUCUUAAAACACCGUGAACUGAAUCAAAUCUCUUCAUUUGCUUCUUA